rnacentral:snRNA from 1 species
GGAUGUGAGGGCGAUCUGGCUGCGACAUCUGUCACCCCACUGAUUGCCAGGGUUAUUUGGCUGAUCUAGCUGGCUAGGCAGGUGUCCCCUCCCUCCUUCCCUCCCUCACUGCUCCAUGUGCAUCCCUCCCGAAGCUGCGUGCUCAUGUAAGAGGACGACAACCCCAUAGAGGAGACCGUUCCUGGGUCAAGGGUAUAGGAGUAGCUGUGCUCCCCUGCUAGAACCUCCGAAGGAGCUCUCAAUAAUGUGCCCCUUGGGGCUGGGAAUUUAGCUCAG